AAAUAUUAUGGUCGAAUAAUAAUAUCGGUCUUCUCUUACAUAGCCAUAGGUACCAAUAAAUUUUCUUUUAGGGUCUUAAAGUGAGCAAUUAGACGGUCGCUCAACACAGAAGGCGGAUAUAAAAAUAUUGAUGCAAUUACAUAAUGUUUAAACAUGGAAUAAGAUUAAUUGGACAUCAUUUUUUAAGAGCUCUUAUGAUUGAAUGUACGUAAUCAAAAGCUAUUCAGCCUUUAGCCGCAAGUAGUGGAAAAACUUAUAAUAUUGGUAAGUACACUGGCUAUAUGUAGGUACCAAUGAUAGUUAAUAAUAUAAUAUGGUUUGCUCGAUGACUCAGCGGAGCGCAGCUUCCUUUUUAUUAUUAUUAAGUGUUUGCGUCUUGACUAUGGUAUUGGCCUUAGACUGCGGGAAACGUCCCUUUUACUCUGCCUGAUGCAAUGCACAAUCCGAUUAGCCUUGAUGUACGUUUAAUUACGACUGGCCUUAGAAAUGCGUUUGCAUGCAAUGUCUCGCGGUCAUUUAAUAGAGCAACUUGUAAUUGGAAUCCAUAAAUCAUCGGAUAGUACCUAACAGAUAAUUGAUAUCAACUGUGAACUGGCAAUAUGUCCUAUCUCAAAUUUUUGACGAUUUCGCUUUAUUUCUACUAUUUUAUA